UAAACUGAAUGGUUUUGCUAGUCCAGCUGGUCUCCGAGACCUAACCAUAACAACCAUGUAAUACACAUGUGGACGACGACGACGACGACGACAACAAGGCAAAUGAGAAUAUUGUUUGUUUUUCAAGUCGAAAGACUGUAGAGGUAUAGAGAGUAGUGGAGGAGAACAGAGGAGAAUGGGCCUGUCAGUGGAGGUAUAGAGAGUAGUGGAGGAGAACAGAGGAGAAUGGGCCUGUCAGUGGAGGAGAACAGAGGAGAAUGGGCCUGUCAGUGGAGGUAUAGAGAGUAGUGGAGGAGAACAGAGGAGAAUGGGCCUGUCAGUGGAGGAGAACAGAGGAGAAUGGGCCUGUCAGUGGAGGUAUAGAGAGUAGUGGAGGAGAACAGAGGAGAAUGGGCCUGUCAGUGGAGGAGAACAGAGGAGAAUGGGCCUGUCAGUGGAGGUAUAGAGAGUAGUGGAGGAGAAUGAGCCUGUCAGUGGAGGGUAUAGAGAGUAGUGGAGGAGAACAGAGGAGAAUGAGCCUGUCAGUAGAGGUAUAGAGAGUAGUGGAGGAGAAUGGGCCUGUCAGUGGAGGUAUAGAGAGUAGUGGAGGAGAAUGGGCCUGUCAGUAGAGGUAUAGAGAGUAGUGGAGGAGAAUGAGCCUGUCAGUGGAGGUAUAGAGAGUAGUGGAGGAGAAUGGGCCUGUCAGUAGAGGUAUAGAGAGUAGUGGAGGAGAAUGGGCCUGUCAGUGGAGGUAUAGAGAGUAGUGGAGGAGAAUGGGCCUGUCAGUGGAGGUAUAGAGAGUAGUGGAGGAGAACAGAGGAGAAUGGGCCUGUCAGUGGAGGUAUAGAGAGUAGUGGAGGAGAAUGGGCCUGUCAGUAGAGGUAUAGAGAGUAGUGGAGGAGAACAGAGGAGAAUGGGCCUGUCAGUGGAGGUAUAGAGAGUAGUGGAGGAGAACAGAGGAGAAUGAGCCUGUCAGUGGAGGUAUAGAGAGUAGUGGAGGAGAACAGAGGAGAAUGGGCCUGUCAGUGGAGGUAUAGAGAGUAGUGGAGGAGAAUGGGCCUGUCAGUGGAGGUAUAGAGAGUAGUGGAGGAGAACAGAGGAGAAUGAGCCUGUCAGUGGAGGUAUAGAGAGUAGUGGAGGAGAAUGGGCCUGUCAGUAGAGGUAUAGAGAGUAGUGGAGGAGAAUGGGCCUGUCAGUGGAGGUAUAGAGAGUAGUGGAGGAGAAUGGGCCUGUCAGUGGAGGUAUAGAGAGUAGUGGAGGAGAAUGGGCCUGUCAGUAGAGGUAUAGAGAGUAGUGGAGGAGAAUGAGCCUGUCAGUGGAGGUAUAGAGAGUAGUGGAGGAGAAUGGGCCUGUCAGUAGAGGUAUAGAGAGUAGUGGAGGAGAAUGGGCCUGUCA